rnacentral:rRNA from 1 species
UACAGAGGGUGCGAGCGUUGUUCGGAAUUAUUGGGCGUAAAAUGCGCUUGUAGGCGGCACGAUUCAAGUCGCGUGUGAAAUCCCAGGCUUAACCUGGGAAGUGCGCGCGAAACUGACGAGCUUGAGUGCCGGAGAGGGUCGCGGAAUUCCCGGAUGUAGAGGUGAAAUUCGUAGAUAUCGGGAGGAACACCAGUGGCGAAGGCGGCGAAUCUGGGUCGAUACUGACGCUGAGGUGCGAAAGCGUGGGGAGCAAACAGG